rnacentral:snRNA from 1 species
AUACUCUGGUUUCUCUUCAGAUCAUAUAAAUCUUUUGCUAUUUACUAAAGAUUUCCGUGGAGAGGAACAAUUCUGAGUCUUUACCCGAUUUUUUGAGACCUUACUCUUGUGAGGC